rnacentral:lncRNA from 1 species
UUUCAAAUUCCUCCGGUUUGAAGAGAGUUCUCGAAAAGCUCCGUUUUCGUGACGGAUUAGUGUUGACGGUAGGCCAAACCGGAGAAAUCAAGCUCCGUUUUCAAAUUCCCCCUGCGUAGCUAUAGUGUGGGACGGGGUCUAGGAUUCCUCGUCGUGUUCCCAUGGGUGACUCAUGGAAUGUAGUUUCUAUUAAUGAGCAUUUCUGUUUGCAAAUUUACAGCAAAUUAUGCAUGCUACUUUUAUUUUCUCACCAAGCUUUCUCUUUCGAGAAAGAACGUUGUCGUUGAAGUCGUUCAAGCUACGGACGCAGUUUUUCAAAAGACAUGGAUUUACAAAGCUUCCCUUGAAGACAAACAGUAUUUGGAAAGCUUGUCAACAAUCAAAUUCGCUAGCUUGUCCAGUUUUGUUGCGGGAAAGCGAGUUAAUUUGCCACCCAGCAGUUGGAACAAGAAGCACUCGCGGCCCUGAUGCAAACAAAAGUACAACAAUCUCUUUUUGCUCAACAAAUUUGAACAGGUAAGACUUUAUACUUGAUAUCUGUUAAUAUUUACUAAGAGAGGAUUUACAAGCACUAGCGCCUUAUUCCGUAUCCACCAGCCUUCUUUAGACCUCAACUGUUGGUCGAGCUGAAUUGGUUCUCGGCCGACUCUUUCGUUGGAAUUCUAAGCUUAGUUUCAAUUCUACUCCUACAAUAUCUGUGAUUCCACUAUAAUGUAUGACAACUGUUUCAAAGCCUUCGAAGAUGAACGUACACAGAUACUUUUCAAGAAACUCAUUGUCAAAGUACCGUUGCAUUCCGACAAGCCCUGGACUUCUCUUUGUUUAAAUUAAACGGCUUUAGGGUAUGGGAUAAUUUUCGCAGGUUUUUUUUAUGGAAGGGAAUUUAAUAUUUCAAAAUGCUUCGGCUUAAAAGCCUAAUCUGACGAACAGACUUUUGGUUUACUGACGGUUUGUUGUCUAAGUAUUUUUGGCUUUGGUGCUAGAGGUUUGAUAAUUGUUGGGAUGAGAGAGGGCUUGGGUCCACAUUAUCGAAGUUUUAAGAAUAUUCGGAAUAUCUUAUAAAAUGGUAUUUAUUUUCUCGUGCUUAAAAGUAUGAUAUGCCAUUGAUCGUGUGUUUUUGUAUACAUGUAUCUUUUUUUGAUGGACCUUGUUAGUCGUCUGCUAGUCAAGAAGCUGUUUACUGAAGACUGAAGCAAGCCAUGAAAUUCUUCAUUUUCUAAGGCAUGGCGAGUUGUGAAUUUCACUGCCCUGUUUUCGAUCGAUGCAUUGGCCACGCAAGCCAAGCUUUUUCUGAUGCAACUUUGAAAGAGAUUGUUGUAGCUAGGGAAAUUUACAACUGAAGUCAGUUCUAUGCGUCACAAACUGAAUCCAUCCUUCUAUUUGGAACAUAUACCAAUGAGAAACCUCGGUAUCCAUUUGUUUACCUACAGUUUCAGCGAAACAAACUGGAGUCUUCGCGACUGGUUUUCGUAAAAUGAGGUUAUUUUCACCUGCAGUUUCCCUGGAAUCAAUCUUGAGUUUUAGGGGAAACUUUAGAUUUCAAUGAACUUGAAUACAUGCACCGUCCAGCUAUAGGACUGUAUUCCUUUCUAAGCUGAAAGAGGAGAAAUAUGUUUGGAACUCCCUGGAAGGAAAAAUUUUGGCGCGUCUUGCUUCCAAACACUUCAGUUUUCACACAAUCAGGGCAAGAAGAUCACACAUUGCUCCAACAUUGCAAUAUACUUAAGGUGUCCGAAACUUGAGCAUUGAUUCAGUAUCAUUUUUCUUUUGCAGCUGGAGUUCUUAGCAUUUCAUUAACAAGAGGAGUGGAAACCGAGAUAGAGAGCUGUUGUCGCAUAUCAUGCUAAAUCAAGCGUUGGAUAAGCGUUCUGCCUGCCUCAAGAUUGGCCACAAUGCAAGCCCAGAGGCGAACACGUCACUCAGUUGAAAAUAUGAGUAUAUAUACUCUGUCUUCUCUGUUGCUGGCUCGCUAUUACAUAAUUUAUUGUUAACGGUGACGUUAUGCCUUUCGUUGAGAGCUCCCUUUCUUGUACACAGUGAAUUUACGCUUAUAUCAGUGAUGUACUUGCCCAUUGUUACCAAAAUCAAGAAGGCGUGGAUGCCGGCACCGACACUGUUGAUGUGAUAACAAAACAAGAGGAGUUUUCUGUGUAUACUUACUGCCGACUACGAUGCAAGGCUAAGACGAAAUACACUCCAUGAAAAUUGAUUACAAAUUGUGACAACUCUAAGAAACAUCAGGAGAGAAUCGCAAUCAAGCAGAACGGGGGAUAAUUAGUUGGAUGUUGUACAGACUGAUUUACUAUUACAAAUAAAUGUGUUUGUAACGGUAAUCAUAAUGGUUUGAUGCUCUUUGACGUUAAGGAUGAAGAGUCUAUGCAUGUAGUUGAAUGGCAUUAUUGUCAAAGUUUAAAAUAUAUAGUGUUUCUGAAUAGUGUUCGAAGACUGUUUUUGUAAGUUGUUAUGUAUUAUUUAAAUUGGCCAAAUAAUGCUAAGUGUAAAAGUGUACUAUAAAAAAUUUCUAAGUGUGUUUCUAC